rnacentral:rRNA from 1 species
GAAGAACCUUACCAGCUCUUGACAUCUGUCGGACUUCGCAGAGAUGCGUUGGUGCCCGCAAGGGAACGGCAAGACAGGUGCUGCAUGGCUGUUGUCAGCUCGUGUUGUGAGAUGUUGGGUUAAGUCCCGCAAAGAGCGCAACCCUUGCCUCUAGUUGCCAGCAUGUUUGGGUGGGCACUCUAGAGGAACUGCCGGUGACAAGCGGGAGGAAGGUGGGGAUGACGUCAAUUCCUCAUGCCCUUUAUGAGCUGGGCUACACACGUGUUACAAUGGCGGUGACAAUGGGAAGCCAGGUCGAGAGGCCGAGCAUAUCCCAAAAACCGGUCUCAGUUCGGAUUGCAUUCUGCAACUCGCGUGCAGGAAGGCAAAUCGGUAGAA